rfam:Canis lupus familiaris chromosome 13, whole genome shotgun sequence.
AAAAGGAAACAAAAGUGUCAUUGGGAGCCCUGCUGUCACUGUGGAUUGAGCGGGCAUGCUGAGCCCUGAGGGCAGACUGGGGAGGAGGAUGGACCUCAUCCAUGGACUGAGAAAGCAGCAGCCGAGACCCUGACCAAGGCCCUGACUGGGAGGGCCUCCCAGG